CGUACACUCCUACGGGAGGCAGCAGUGAGGAAUAUUAGACAAUGGGUGGAAGCCUGAUCCAGCCAUCCCGCGUGCAGGAAGACGGCCCUAUGGGUUGUAAACUGCUUUUAUCUGGGGAUAAACCUACUUACGUGUAAGUAGCUGAAGGUACCAGAAGAAUAAGCACCGGCUAACUCCGUGCCAGCAGCCGCGGUAAUACGGAGGGUGCAAGCGUUAUCCGGAUUUAUUGGGUUUAAAGGGUCCGUAGGCGGACUGAUAAGUCAGUGGUGAAAUCCGACAGCUUAACUGUCGAACUGCCAUUGAUACUGUUAGUCUUGAGUAAGGUUGAAGUGGCUGGAAUAAGUAGUGUAGCGGUGAAAUGCAUAGAUAUUACUUAGAACACCAAUUGCGAAGGCAGGUCACUAAGUCUUAACUGACGCUGAUGGACGAAAGCGUGGGGAGCGAACAGGAUUAGAAACCCCGGUAGUCCCA
rnacentral:rRNA from 1 species